CAGUAGUAACUACUUCACAGGAAGGAUGCCUGAGUUUGGCAAUUUGAAACAGCUUCAGAAGUUAGAGGUGGAAGCAAGUGGUUUCGAUGGGCCAAUUCCUUCUAGUAUAUCUAACUUGAACAAGCUAGUAGAAUUAAGGAUUACUGACUUAAAUGGGGAGAUGAGCUCAGAUUUUCCGAACUUGAUGAACAUGACAAACAUACAAAGAUUG